rnacentral:rRNA from 1 species
CAACUUUCAACAACGGAUCUCUUGGCUCAUC